AUUGAACGCUGGCGGCAGGCCUAACACAUGCAAGUCGAGCGGAGCGGCGGACGGGUGAGUAAUGCCUAGGAAUGUGCCUGGUAGUGGGGGAUAACGUCGGGAAACCGUCGCUAAUACCGCAUACUAUCAGAUUAGCCUAGGUCGGAUUAGCUAGGUGGUGGGGUAAAGGCCUACCAAGGCGACGAUCCGUAACUGGUCUGAGAGGACGAUCAGCCACACUGGGACUGAGACACGGUCCAGACUCCUACGGGAGGCAGCAGUGGGGAAUAUUGGACAAUGGGGGAAAGCCUGAUCCAGCCAUCCCGCGUGUGUGAAGAAGGUCUUCGGGUUGUAAAGCACUUUAAGUAGGGAAGCGUUACCAGCAGAAUAAGCACCGGCUAACUUCGUGCCAGCCGCCGCGGUAAUUC
rnacentral:rRNA from 1 species